rnacentral:miRNA from 1 species
UGCUCUUACUUUAUCGCUUAA